AGCAAGCUAAAAAUGGAAACGUUAGUAUGAAAUGAUGAAUUUACUACACUAAAACAAAAAAAANCUUUGAUAUCAAUAUGGACUCACAUUGACCUGAUUAUUGAGAUAAUAAUUGAUCCUGUGACCUUCAUAACAAUAUGGAUUCACCUUGUUGCUGUAUAGUAUUGAACUGAUUAUCAAGAUGUUAAACAAUGUGAUAACCUGUUGAUGGUUCUGUGACCUUCAUUACAAAUUAUGGAUUCACCCUUGGCUGUAUGAGUAUUGACCUGAUUAUCAAGAUAAUCAAUGCAGUAACCUGGUGAUGACCCUGUGACCUUCAUAACAAUAUGGACUCACCUUAAUGUAUGAGUAUUGACCUCAUUAUCAAGAUGAUAAUUAAUGUGGUAACCUGGUGAUGACCCUGUGACCUUCAUAACAAUAUGAACUCACCUUACUGUAUGAGUAUUGACCUCAUUAUUAAGAUGAUAAUUGAUGUGGUAGCCCUGGUGAUGACCCUGUGACCUUCAUAACAAUAUGGACUCACCUUAAUGUAUGAGUAUUGACCUCACUGUCAAGAUGAUAAUUGAUGUGGUAACCUGGUGAUGACCCUGUGACCUUCAAAGCAAUAUAUACUCAUGGUUAAUCCAUUAUGGUUACCCUGUGGUAGAGGAAGAUAAUCCAACAUGUUUCCUUUACAUGUUCCAAGGAGCAGCUUAUUCCUGAUCAUCAGCUUGUCAACCUCUCUAGCCAAGCAUUUGGUUGUCAUAGUGAUGAUGAUGUCUGGCCAGCAGAUAUAACACAGACAGCUAUUUCACAGUCUCCAGCCAAGUAUCUGGUUGUCAUAGAGAUGAAGCUGUGAAGCUCUGGCUGGCUAUGGCUAUGCAGAGACAUGCAUAUUAUUAAUGAUGUUAAUAGCUAUCCCAAAUCUGUCAUACUCACAUCAACCAAGCUGUUGUCCUGCAAAGCCUUGUCAGAUGAUGCAGCACCAUCAAGAGAUGCAGUCAAUCAGUACUGAAGACAGGAAUCACCCACAAAGGAUAAGAAUAUCAUGCCAUCAGAUUGAGUAGCAUAACUUAUAGGAUGAAAUCUAGAAUCAUUCAGGAAUUUCAACAUUUCAAAAAAAAAAGAGAGAGAAAUUUAGCAUAAUCUAGGAAUUUCACCCCCAAAAAAUGAAAAUCUAGCAUUUUCUAGAAGUAUAAAAAUUUCAAAGCUGGCAUUUCAAAAAAUAAAAUAAAGCCAAAACAAAAAAAAAACAAACUAAUACAACCUAGGCCUAGGAUAAAACUAGAUCCAACAUCUAGCAUGAACUAAGAUUAUGAAGGGGGGUCAAAGUCACCAGUUACAAUGAAAAGAAUUUAAGAAUAAGAAUUUAAAAAAGUUUUUAGUGCUUUACCUAGGCCUAGGACUAAAAAUCUAGCAUAAUUUAGUCAAUAUUUCAACAAGAACAAAAAAAGGGAAAAAGUCUAGCAAUAGUAAAGAUGACCUUUUUGGACUAGAGGACUGGUAAAAUGCAGGGCUCAAAAUAGCAAGCACAAUGUAAAUUUCUGUAACCAUUUUAAUUUAAAAGUGCACUUGAAAAUCAUUUUAUCUUGCUUGCAAUUAGUAAUGGUUUUUAUAUUGGCUGCUAUUUUGAGUCCUGCAGAUAAGUUUAUUUCACAAGUACUUUUGUAGGAAUGUUAAUCUU
rnacentral:lncRNA from 1 species